UACGUAGGGUGCGAGCGUUAAUCGGAAUUACUGGGCGUAAAGCGUGCGCAGGCGGUUCUGUAAGACCGAUGUGAAAUCCCCGGGCUUAACCUGGGAACUGCAUUGGUGACUGCAGAGCUAGAGUGUGUCAGAGGGAGGUGGAAUUCCGCGUGUAGCAGUGAAAUGCGUAGAGAUGUGGAGGAACACCGAUGGCGAAGGCAGCCCCCUGGGCUAACACUGACGCUCAUGCACGAAAGCGUGGGGAGCAAACAGG
rnacentral:rRNA from 1 species